rnacentral:rRNA from 1 species
GACGAACGCUGGCGGCGUGCUUAACACAUGCAAGUCGAACGGUGAACGAGGGAGCUUGCUCCCUCCGGAUCAGUGGCGAACGGGUGAGUAACACGUGAGCAAUCUGCCCCGAACUCUGGGAUAAGCGUUGGAAACGACGUCUAAUACCGGAUACGACGCGGGAGGGCAUCCUCUCCGCGUGGAAAGAACUUCGGUUCGGGAUGAGCUCGCGGCCUAUCAGCUUGUUGGUGAGGCAACGGCUCACCAAGGCGACGACGGGUAGCCGGCCUGAGAGGGUGACCGGCCACACUGGGACUGAGACACGGCCCAGGCUCCUACGGGAGGCAGCAGUGGGGAAUAUUGCACAAUGGGCGCAAGCCUGAUGCAGCAACGCCGCGUGAGGGACGACGGCCUUCGGGUUGUAAACCUCUUUUAGCAGGGAAGAAGCGAAAGUGACGGUACCUGCAGAAAAAGCACCGGCUAACUACGUG